UACAGAGGUCUCAAGCGUUGUUCGGAUUCAUUGGGCGUAAAGGGCGCGUAGGCGGCUUGUCAAGUCACUUGUGAAAUCUCUGAGCUUAACUCAGAACGGCCAAGUGAAACUGACAUGCUAGAGUGCAGAAGGGGCAACUGGAAUUCUCGGUGUAGCGGUGAAAUGCGUAGAUAUCGAGAGGAACACCUGCGGCGAAGGCGGGUUGCUGGGCUGACACUGACGCUGAGGAGCGAAAGCGUGGGUAGCAAACAGG
rnacentral:rRNA from 1 species